UAUUCGGCUAAUUGAUUGCAAAUUAUCAGUUAGUUGAUUAGCGUCACACUAAUCAACUAGCGCAUUCCCACCCUCUCGAAUUAUCUUGGUAGGAUGAUAAAUCUGUCAAAAAUGCCAAAACAACAAACAAACUUUUACUUAACGUGUGUUUGCUGCGGCAAAUUUGUUCUUCCUGUCCCGGAACGGCCACGAAUCUUAAUGGCCCACUUUUCCAGGUUGCGAAAGAGGAAACUUGUUUUGUUUUCAACUUCCAUCGAAAGAGGAUAUCGAUGGUCUGUUUUUGUACCUUCCGGAAGGAGCGAGAACUGGGUCGAGUGCAGACUAUGACGGUGCUGUGGCUAAACAAACAGACGAACUUCCAAGGCCAUCGGAAUACUCGCCCGAAAAACAACGCUCGAGAAUAGCGCGUCAACACCGAAGGAACAUCCACAACGGCGGGUCGACGAUUUUUUUUGACGACGACACUGUGCUGAUAGACGAGUGCGAAUUCUGCUUGAGGCCAUCGAACUCGUGGGGAUUCCCCGGUGACCUGUCCUGGCCACGGGCGGGCUCCCGGAAAUCAAGAGCAAGCUGAGAGUUCCAGCGAAUUGCAGGCGAAGAAAUUCCAAAAUAAGGAACUCGAAAUGAAACUAGCAACUUCUUCAAGCUGAUGAAGGCCAUGGUCAUCUCAAAACACUAUCAACAAACUUUAAUAACAGAACCUGAACCGACAUCGGUGGCUUGUAGAACGCCAAACGAGAGGUGCAGAAUCUAGUCGGAUGAAAACGCAGGCAGGUUCUUGUGAAAUCGUUGGAAAGGCAAGGCAAGAACGGGCAUAAUGACGAGUUCCUCCUGCGUCCUGCAAUCUGAAUCAGCUGACACAUUUCGGUCAACGAGUUGCUGUGCUGCGACGAAGAAUCGUACGGUUCGCUGCGAGUACUUUUACAGUCCUGACUCAUGGAACGGAUUGUGGUCGUGCUGGAGAUAUCGAACAGACGCUAGCAGAAGAGGAAGAAAACGGUCACUACUUUCAGCUUAACUUGUUCGUUCAUGUAGGUAACUGCGAGCCGAGGCGUCGAGUCCUCGAUCGAUCUGUUAACAAUCCCGGUGACAGCGUUACGAAAGCGAACGGUAAUUCUGAACAGAAACAGCUUAAGCUGCGCGUGCCGAACGGAUCCCUCUUGAAGUCUGCUGACUUUGAACGCAUCACUCCGGCAGACCCCCAAAAACAGCAGAGCACAUCCUAAGGGGAAACCUCAAAAAAUUAUUCAAAUGUAAUGAUUACGUAUGAAAUAAACUUUAUGGGGGAAGGAUGGGUAAGGGGGAGUGAUUUCGAGCGAUGUUCAUAAUUUGGUUAUCUGCGCUUCCGGACGCGAAUUGGGGAUCAUAUCAACUCCAACGGCAAAAGCGUGCUGCACUAUUUCAUACUUUAUCUAGCUCGUCCAACGUCACGACUUCCAAGAAGAUUCUCCCGGAGGUAGCUCGAUUCGAACGGUUGUUGAAUCAUUUGUGUCAUCACGCAUUUCAUGAUAGGGAAGUAAAACGUAGGUUCCGGCCUCAGCUUUUAGGACGUUUGAUCAUUCCCGUUGUAGUAGUCUUCUCCAACAAGAAAUGCAGUAGCUGGUUUUAAAACCGGUGGAAGGAAAAAAACGCAUCACAAAAAUCCAAAGGAUAAAAAAGAAGCCCCAAAUAAAACAAUCUUCCUCACAUAAGUUUAAUUCUUCGCAGGGCCUUAUGCCGCUUUCUUUCAUUCUUCCGGCCCGGUAACGGUCGUAGCCUCACAUGUCCCGGAUGCGUUUCUUUAACUGGGCACAGCUUGUGGAAGAGAAACAGGCGGACUUUUGGGCUGGACACCCCGUGGGGGAAGCUGAAGCGUUCGUUGGACAUCCGUCGAGGGCAGCUUCCAUUUGCUUUGGAGGCCGUGUCCUGCUUAUCUAUCGCAUUGUUUUGCUCCCACUUCUAUAUAAACAUUCGCCGAAAGCUUCUUGUCCUUGGACUCCUUCUUGUGCAGCCAAACUUGGCCGGAUUAUGCAGGCCUCAGCCUUGAGUUUGCUGCUGGUUGUGGCCACGUCGAAAUCCAUGUUCCGGCAGUGCCCGGAACCGGCAUAUACCGGUUUAAACCUCACAACAAAUUACUUAAAGAAACCUUCGGUUCAGAAGAAAGUAAAGAUUAUUUUCAAACUGUCAAAAUGACAUUUCUCAACGACAAGAUUACUUAAUGUAAGAUGGGAAUGGGA